rnacentral:rRNA from 1 species
GGAUCGUAAGACCUUGCGUUAAUGGAGCGGCCGAUAUCUGAUUAGCUAGUUGGUGGGGUAAAGGCCCACCAAGGCUUUGAUCAGCAGCUGGUCUGAGAGGACGACCAGCCACACUGGAACUGAGACACGGUCCAGACUCCUACGGGAGGCAGCAGUGGGGAAUUUUGGACAAUGGGCGCAAGCCUGAUCCAGCCAUUCCGCGUGAGUGAAGAAGGCCUUCGGGUUGUAAAGCUCUUUCGCAAGGGAAGAAAACUUACUUAAUAACACUAGGUGAGGCUGACGGUACCUUGAUAAGAAGCACCGGCUAACUACGUGCCAGCAGCCGCGGUAAUACGUAGGGUGCAAGCGUUAAUCGGAAUUACUGGGCGUAAAGCGUGCGCAGGCGGUUUUGUAAGUCAGAUGUGAAAUCCCCGGGCUUAACCUGGGAACUGCGUUUGAA